rnacentral:rRNA from 1 species
AGGGUGUAAACGCUGCGGACUUGGUGUUGGAAAUCCUUCGAGGGUAUUCAGUGCCGGAGAGAAGUUGUUAAGUCUGCUACUUGGGGAGUACGUCCGCAAGGAUGAAACUUAAAGGAAUUGGCGGGGGAGCACCGCAACGGGAGGAGCGUGCGGUUUAAUUGGAUUCAACACCGGAAAACUCACCAGGGGAGACUGUUACAUGAAACCCAGACUAAUGAUCUUGGUUGAUUUUCAGAGAGGAGGUGCAUGGCGUCAGUGACU